CUGGGGCCACUUGAGGGGGUCUUGUGGAAGAGGAAAACUUGUGGGGCAAUGGGAUGUCCAGGGACACAGAUGGCCAGGUGCUGGGCCUCAGGAUGGAAUCCAGCCACCCCUGCUGGGUGACACACAGUGAUCUUCCUCAGGAGAGUGGAAGCUCUGCAGGGUGAGAAUGAAACAUGGGUGGUCAGUGGGGAUAAUAGGACCUACCUAGCUGGGCUGUUAUGAAGGCUAAAUGAGGAAACACUUGUAAAGUUCUCAGAACUGUGCCUCGAACAAGUGGGAGAUGUCAGUCACCAUCACCCCCAUUCACCAGGACAGAGGGGCUACAGAAAAAGCUGAACUGUGCUGAGCCAUCUGCUGCCUCUUCCCAGUGAGAGCAUCUGAAUCUGAAAGAAAAAAAGAAUGUCACAUCCAUUUGUCAUGGCUCUUGGGACCCUGACUUUAUGCAGGGGUGCUGGGAGCUAAGUAAAACACCUCAAGCCAGUAAGUCCCCCCACAACACAUCUUAGAAAUAUAAAAUUGACUUGCUACAGACUUGUUUCUAGACCUGAACUCACCUGCAGUUCUUAGAAAAGAAAAUUAAAUGGGUAUUGUUAUUAUUUAAAA
rnacentral:lncRNA from 1 species